rnacentral:rRNA from 1 species
GCCUCAGUAACGGCGAGUGAAGCGGCAACAGCUCAAAUUUGAAAUCUGGCCCUAGGCCCGAGUUGUAAUUUGCAGAGGAUGCUUUUGGCGCGGUGCCUUCCGAGUUCCCUGGAACGGGACGCCAUAGAGGGUGAGAGCCCCGUCUGGUCGGACACCAAGCCUCUGUAAAGCUCCUUCGACGAGUCGAGUAGUUUGGGAAUGCUGCUCAAAAUGGGAGGUAUAUGUCUUCUAAAGCUAAAUACCGGCCAGAGACCGAUAGCGCACAAGUAGAGUGAUCGAAAGAUGAAAAGCACUUUGGAAAGAGAGUUAAACAGCACGUGAAAUUGUUAAAAGGGAAGCGUUUAUGACCAGACUUGGGCCGGUUGAUCAUCCAGCGUUCUCGCUGGUGCACUCUGCCGGUCCAGGCCAGCAUCAGUUCGCUGCGGGGGAUAAAGGCGUCGGGAAUGUGGCUCCUCGGAGUGUUAUAGCCCUUCGCGCAAUACCCUGUGGCGGACUGAGGUUCGCGCAUUCGCAAGGAUGCUGGCGUAAUGGUCAUCAACGACCCGUCUUGAAACACGGACCAAGGAGUCGUCUUCGUAUGCGAGUGUUCGGGUGUAAAACCCCUACGCGUAAUGAAAGUGAACGCAGGUGAGAGCUUCGGCGCAUCAUCGACCGAUCCUGAUGUUCUCGGAUGGAUUUGAGUAAGAGCAUACGGGGCCGGACCCGAAAGAAGGUGAACUAUGCCUGUAUAGGGUGAAGCCAGAGGAAACUCUGGUGGAGGCUCGCAGCGGUUCUGACGUGCAAAUCGAUCGUCAAAUAUGGGCAU